UAGGACACAACUGGGUGAAGACGCAACAGCAUGUGUGGUGCAGACGCAAGGGCGAGCUUUUAUGAGGUGUAAAAGCAAGUGCAUGCUUCGAGUCUACUGAGAUACUGAGAACUGUACGACAGCCGCCUGCUAGCAACCAAGUCUUUCGUCCACGUUCUGGGACCCUACGAGCAUUCAUGCAUCUGUUGUAUUAAAGUUGAAUAAAUACAUUUGUAAUUC